GUGUGAACAAUAGCUAUUCCCUUCCCAGGUCUGUGGAUGAUGGUAAAAUUGAAGCUGCAAUAUCAAAGAAUGCUACAGGAAGUUAUUCCUGCCAGCUGCCAUCAGUCUGUACAGUGACUCUCCUCUGUGCUCAUCUGGACUUUUAUUUAUUUAUUACAUUAUCCAUCACAUCUGAUUCAUCUGUAUAUAAUAUUUCAAGUACUGUCUGUGUAUAUGGUUACAUAUGUAUAUACUUUGUGUUGUGUAAAUUAUUCAUGUUUCAGUGUACACUUAAUUCUAACAUUCAUGGGCAAUUAUGCACCUUAUUGCCAUAGCAAUAUCCAUUUGACUUAUAUUAUGCACCAUAAUAUAGCAUAUUAAUAUCAUUGAACAGUGUAUACUCAGCAAAUAGUGUAUUAUAAUUAUGGUUAUGGUUAUAUCUCUUUGGGUUUCAUAAAUAAACACUAAAUUAAUAAAUUAGAUGGCAUAGAGCUCUUUCUCAAUCGGGGCAUGGUUGACUUUGCUGUUAGUCAGUGAUUUAGAUGCAUAAUUAUACAACACGUUAUAAUUAUUUUUUUCAGCGGAUAUCUUAGUUACAAUGAGACUGAGCUAGCAAAAGCACUUUUGUGUUUAUAUAUGUGGUAUUUGUUCAGUUUGGGAAAUGCUGCAAUCUCCAGAAAGCAUUAGCUGCAGUUGGCUGGCUGAUUCAGCAGGGACUAGAAAUCGUCUCUGUUGCUAGGUCGUUACUAAGGGUCGACCUACUUGCUGGAGUAGUUAGCUAGGUUUUAUUAAAUAGGAUUUUACUGACGUGAGUGAUUAUUUUCCAGGUAUUAGUCAUAAUUACCUGGCUAAAAGAAAGCAAAGGUCCACCACAUAACACCCCCCCCCCCCCCCCCACACACACACACACACAUGCGCUAAUGCUUCAUGUGAAAGUAAAAUCAGUGAUGUAGAUCUCCUGAAAGGUAGUGUAAGUGAGAGAUGUGAAGCUCAAAUGGAAGAUGAAGUAAGGCUCUAGAUAUAAGACUAACUGUUGUAUUCGUCUUUUUUUACUCUUAGCUAUCAAAGGAAAAAGAGACCGGGAAAGAUCACAAACAUCCCAGUUUCAGAUCUGCCCAGGCAAAAACAGGAGAAGAUGAGGGAAAAGUGGAGGCAGUAUCAGAGGCAAUACAGAGAGAAGAAAAGGGUGCUUGCUGAUGUUUUGAACCUUACUCCUCCCUCACUGAAUUCAACAGCAAGUGACCAGCUUAAUGGCCCUCCAGAGCCCAUAGUAAACCUUGCUGAUCAUGACUAUGUGCAGCCAAGUUUUGAGAGACCACAGGCAUCAUCAACUCCUGUAAGGGCAGUGCAGAAAAGUACCAGCAAAACGUAGAGCAGUGCUGAAGGAAAAGGAAAGGCUAAGGACCUUAAGAGUGAAAGAAUGAAGGCAAAAAAGCUGCAACGGAAACUCGAGAAACUCCCAGAGAAGAAAGGACAGAAAGGUGAGGUGGCGGUUGGCGUGCAGCCGGCUCUGCCUGUGGCUGGUAUUACGAUGAUUUUGGAUAAUGAUAUAGCAGGGAGUCGGGUGUGGCCUGAUGUUGCACCUCGUGCUAUCGUGGCGCCAGCGCCCCUGGAAUGUCUGUCUAUGGACAAACACAGGACACUGCACUGGCAUCUUUGGGAAACACGAGUGGGAUUCUAUGCAACUCAGCCUUAAGGAGAAUACUGGCCAGGAGGAAGCAGGAGAACCAGAAGCAGUGAACUACUGAACUUCCUAUUGGUUAAAAACAAAGCAACAGAAAGCAUAAAUCUGAGUAUUCAUGCCUUUCCCAAACCAAUAAAAACAGUUCCCAUAGAUCACUAUACAUCAAUAAUUAGGGUGAUUUCCGUCCGUUGAUGGACGUUGAUGACAGCCAAGCGAGGGAUGAGUCUAAGCUUUCAAUAUCGUCAACCAGGACCUACCAGAAAGGUCAAUACCUAUCCAUCAGCCCUGAUGGAAUCCUCACCUUUUGGACUGACAGCUUUAAGGCGUCACACCCAAUCAAACUAAAUAAUAUACAAAAGAAACUUCCUUUUUCACACAGGGAGAAAAUGUGUAUUAAUGACAUGGUGUACAUCAGCAAACUCAACGAGCUGGCUAUCGCAACCUCUUGCAGGGAACUGGUAUUCUAUACCUGCAAUGAAUUCCCUGAUUUACUUAAACCCAAAUAUGCUUUAAUAAAGAAGAUAGCAUAGUGAAUACCAUGACCUACUGGUCCGAUGGCACUAAAGCAGUAUUUCCUAUGGUGACACAAAAGGCUUUUUGUCUGUUUUUGUCAGCUACAACAUAGAGAGGAAAAGCCUCUUCCACAAAAAUGCAUACGAGUCAGUGACGUGAUGCACUGAUUUUUUGUUCCAGGAGAAAUUACUAUUACACACUUGGAUUAAAUAAGGUUGAUAUUGUAUAUAUUCUUUAAUCUCACGUCACAUUUCCUCCUCACUAUUCAUAUUUGCAUGAAAAAUACAAAAUUGACUGACUUUUAUACCAUUAAAGUGGAAAAAUGUCAUACGGUAAAACAGCAGUCACUUGAUGUCAAAGAAGACAACUUCAUUUAAAAUGAUUAAAAAUAUGUAAAAAUCAUCAACUUUUGUCUGUGGCAUAUUUUUAGAAUGUACAGAAAAGCACUGUUAAGUAUUAAUAGGAUAAAUCUUGAAGAAAUGUCUUUAAUAUCUAAAACACUUUGUUCCGCAAGGACAGAUUUCCCUCAAUGUCAUUUGGUAAAACAAAUUUUGGAAGCCAUUUUGAAUUGUGGAUAAAUGACUCGUGUCAUGUGACAUGUGAUGACAUCACUCAGAAGACCCCUAAAGACCACCAGAGUUGGAGAUGCCUCUUUCCAGUAAAGAGAGGGGUGCACGUUUUCGUGCAAAGAUCAGGGCAGAUCCUGUUGCUAGAGAGGAGAGACUAGAAAAGAGAAGGGAAAGGUAUCGGCAAAUGAAGCAAGCUGGGCAAUAUGAUUAUCAACCCAUCAAACACUUGACCACAUCUGCAGCCACAAAAAGAAGAGAACAGUGGAGGCUCAACCAGAGGAAAUGUAGGGAAAGACAGCGACAGGCAGAAGCUGUGAUGACCUUCACGCCACUAUCAGUGGAUUUGUUUGCGGAGCCUUUUCAAGUUGACCAUCCUGGAACUCCUGGAACUCACUGAACUGGGUUCAGUGAACUACUGAACUUCCUAUUGGUUAAAAACAAAGCAACAGAAAGCAUAAAUCUGAGUAUGCAUGCCUUUCCCAAACCAAUAAACUCCUCAGCAUUCCUCGCCACCUGGAACUCCUCAGCACUCCUCAUCACCACAGUCACCGCAACACUCUGCACCACCAGGGCCAUUGCAACACUGCACCACUAGGGCCGUCACAACACUCUGCACCUGAUGAGACAACUGAUGUAACUAAAAGCAAGGUCAAGCAAUAGUGUUGUGUGCUGACCAAGUCUCUUAAAGAGCUUCAUAAAGAAUACAAUACAGAGGUAGGAGGAGCACCCAUAUCAUACCGGCAUUUUGCCCGCCUUCGUCCAUUUUAUGUCACAGCGCCUAAGGCUAGUGACCGCAACACAUGUGCCUGUAUUGAUCAUGAAAAUGUGAGGUUGAUAAUAGAGAAACUGCAUCAAGGAGGCUUUUUAGGAAGUAAAAGCAUUACUGAUGCACUCACCCGCAUUGUGUGUGACAUGAAAAACAAAAAAUGCGUGUUUAGGCAGUGUGCAAAGUGCUGCUAUUCAGAGAUGGAGCCAGCCAUUCCAAAUGACACUGGGCUGGUUUCAUGGCAUCAAUGGCAGAGGGAGAAAGUCAGCUCAGAAGGGAAAAUCUAUUCACAUUUUGUGAAGAGAGAAGUGACCGGAAAAUGGGAAGAUCUCCUGAAGAGCUUUAAUGAAAAGCUGGAAAGACUGGCAAAGCAUCAUUAUACAUGGAUCCAUCAGGUGGAGCAAUGUAGGGCUCUCAAGAACAGCCUUCGAAACCAUGAGGCUCUAGUCCACAUGGACUUUUCUGAGAAUUAUUCAUGCAAGCUGAAUGUUGAGGUUCAGUCCUAUCAUUGGGGGGGAAGUCGAAGACAAGCAACAGUCCACACAUGCAUGGUCUACACUGCAGAAAGAUCAAAAGCUUAUGCUACCAUUUUCACUUCUCUCAGACAUGAUGAACGGGCAGUAUGGGCACACUUGAAGCCUGUGUUGGAUGAAAUACAGUCAAAUGCACCAAUAUCUACAGUGCACUUAAUGAGUGAUGGCCCUCUGACACAAUAUAGAAAUAAGAAAAAUUUCUUCUUGAUGUCAACCUUGCCUUUCAUGCAUGGCAUUGAGGCUGUCACAUGGAACUUCUCAGAGAAGUCCCAUGGAAAGGGUGUACCAGAUGGUAUUGGUGGUUUAUUAAAGAGAAAAGCAAAUGCAUUUGUCCAGCAAGGAGGGGAUAUUCAGCACCCAGAGGAAUUGUUUUCCUUUCUGGAAAAGUCCAAUUCUGACAGAGAAUACUGGCCAGGAGGAAGCAGGAGAACCAGAAGCAGUGAACUACUGAACUUCCUAUUGGUUAAAAACAAAG